GUGUGAUCAACUGCUACUGAAAUUGUGAGAAGGAGAGAUGCUACAUCUGGAUGAAGACAAGUGCCUGAGUCCAGUGUUAUUAGGUGCUGAAUAUUGGUUCCAAUACAGAACAUGUUUGAGGUUACAUUAUAAUAUUUCAAGUCUCCCGCCAUCCAUGACAUUCAGCAGGCUGGGGGGAACCUAACAUCUGAUACAGUGACACACCACAUGGACCAUGAUUGGGAAGCUGAAACAGAAGAUACAGAACUUCUGUCUAACUGAAUACGAAUGCUGCAGUGCAUCACAU